rnacentral:rRNA from 1 species
CCUACGGGUGGCAGCAGUGAGGAAUAUUGGUCAAUGGGCGAGAGCCUGAACCAGCCAAGUCGCGUGAGGGAUUACUGCCCUAUGGGUUGUAAACCUCUUUUGUCGGGGAGCAAAAGCCGGACGUGUCCGGCUGUUAGAGUACCCGAAGAAAAAGCAUCGGCUAACUCCGUGCCAGCAGCCGCGGUAAUACGUAGGGAGCAAGCGGUUUCCGGAAUUACUGGGGGUAAAGGGCGCGUAGGUGGGCGCUUAAGUCAGGUGUGAAAACUCCGGGCUCAACCUGGGGACUGCAGUUGAAACUGGGUGUCUUGAGGGCGGGAGAGGAACGUGGAAUGCGUGGUGUAGCGGUGAAAUGCGUAGAUAUUAGGAGGAACACCAGUGGCGAAGGCGACUUUCUGGACUGUAACUGACGCUGAGGCGCGAAAGCGUGGGUAGCGAACGGGAUUAGAUACCCGGGUAGUC